UACACAUGUACUGCUAUAAGGGAGCGAAAUAUUACGCCAGUGUUACAGAGGAGUAAACUGAGGCAUAGCGACUUUACACCACUUGCUUUAGGCAACACAGAUGGUUAAUGGGAAUGGAGGGAAUAUAAUUAGUAAUUCUGGAUUAUACUGAGCUAUUUAAAUCACAAGACUUUUUUCUCUCUGAGGUGCUUCUUAUUCAUUAGGACCUGGUUUGGAAAGAUUUAUAAGAAAAGCUGCAGACAGAAAUCUGUAAGGACUUUCAAAAGCACUGUUCAAGUCCAAGGGGAGUUUGGGUCCUAAAUCCCGAAGAGCACCUGGGUCUGAGACUUGUGCAGAGAUGAAGAACCUCAGGCCAUGUCUCCGCACUAGCACAGCGCUGAGAUAAUGCAGUAGGACCUGCCCCAUGGGAGGUAAAGCAAGAAAGCACACAUUGAAGUCCAGCUCAUCUUUAGGGGUGGAAACCUUGAAGCUUUUCAGACACAAUCAUUCUUCACAUCCCUCCUUGAUAAAAUUCUCAGCAGUCAGCACAGAUUUAAGAAGAAAAAAAAAAGACACUGCCUGUCCUGUUUCUCAACAUUUGGAAAGUUUUAAGGAGUACUGCAGGUGAGAGUAUGGUCACAAAUGUAUUUUAUUUUUCAUAAUUUCUCUCCAGAUUUUAGAAUGAAAAAUGUUAACGUCUGUUCUAACAUCUGAGAAUCUUUCGGAGCCCUUUUAGAAAACAAGCAGUGAGGCAAAACAGAACAUACAAACUGUAUUUUAUUUAUGCAGAUAAGAUUUGUGUGAAAUCAGGAUUUGAUUUUUGACUAAGUGCUCACAGGUGAUUGUAUUUACAGUGCUGAAAUGCUGUGAUAUGCUACAAUAUAUCAUAGACCAAAUUCGGAAUAUUUGUAGUGUGAGUACUGAAAAACGCAUGGAGCUGAAACAUAAAGGGAAAACACUGAGCAAUGUGGGGAAAAGGCAGGUCCAGAUUUGUAUUUGUCACUUAACCUACUUAAUUCUAAGUCUAAGGGAGUUGUAAUUCUGACUGUCAUCCAGGAAAAAAUGUGAAGUGCUUUUUCAAAUAAAAAAAAAUGUUCCUGCUGCUUUUUCAGUGGAUUGUUUGGUACAAGCUGAGCUGCUACAGUGAAAGAGAAAAUUGCAUUUUGAAGGGCAAAACCACAAUGCAGAAGUUUACCUUUCAGAAUUCAUAUAUAAACACAAACAGUGAAAUGCUAAACUGUAAAAGCGGCAUCGUAUAAAGAG
ensembl:lncRNA